AGCAGUAGCCGCGGUAAUACGGAGGGUGCAAGCGUUAAUCGGAAUUACUGGGCGUAAAGCGCACGCAGGCGGUCUGACAAGUCAGAUGUGAAAUCCCCGGGCUUAACCUGGGAACUGCAUUUGAAACUGUCAGGCUGGAGUCUUGUAGAGGGGGGUAGAAUUCCAGGUGUAGCGGUGAAAUGCGUAGAGAUCUGGAGGAAUACCGGUGGCGAAGGCGGCCCCCUGGACAAAGACUGACGCUCAGGUGCGAAAGCGUGGGGAGCAAACAGGAUUAGAUACCCGGGUAGUCCCUGUCUCUUAUAA
rnacentral:rRNA from 1 species